rnacentral:tRNA from 1 species
GGGUUCUUAGCUCAGCUGGUUCAGAGCACCUGCCUUACAAGCAGGGGGUCGGGGGUUCGAAUCCCUCAGGACCCA